GACGAACGCUGGCGGCGUGCUUAACACAUGCAAGUCGAGCGGUAAGGCCCUUUGGGGUACACGAGCGGCGAACGGGUGAGUAACACGUGAGUAAUCUGCCUUUGGCUUGGGAAUAACUUCGGGAAAUCGGGGCUAAUGCCUGAUGUUUACUGUCUGCUGCAUGGUGGGUGGUGGAAAGUAUUUUUUGGCCAGGGAUGAGCUCGCGGUCUAUCAGCUUGUUGGUGGGGUAAUGGCACCAAGGCUUUGACGGGUAGCCGGCCUGAGAGGGUGUUCGGCCACACUGGGACUGAGACACGGCCCAGACUCCUAC
rnacentral:rRNA from 1 species